rnacentral:rRNA from 1 species
UGGUGGAGUGAUUUGUCUGGUUAAUUCCGUUAACGAACGAGACCUUAGCCUGCUAAAUAGUUACGUGUAACUUCGGUUAUGCGGGCAACUUCUUAGAGGGACUUUGUGUGUCUAACGCAAGGAAGCUUGAGGCAAUAACA